UUUCGCAAUGCCCGAAAGGGUGACGAAGCGACGCCGCGUGUGGGAAGAAGGCCUUCGGGUUGUAAACCACUGUCGGGAGUUAGGAAAUGCAGGUGCGUUAAUAGCGCACUUGCUUGACUAAGGCUCCAGAGGAAGCCACGGCUAACUCUGUGCCAGCAGCCGCGGUAAUACAGAGGCGGCAAGCGUUGUUCGGAAUUAUUGGGCGUAAAGAGCACGUAGGCGGCCCUGCAAGUCAGUUGUGAAAGCCUUCCGCUUAACGGAAGAACGGCAUCUGAUACUACAGGGCUUGAGUACGGGAGGGGAGAGUGGAACUUCUGGUGGAGCGGUGAAAUGCGUAGAUAUCAGAAGGAACGCCGGCGGCGAAAGCGACUCUCUGGUCCGAAACUGACGCUGAGUGUGCGAAAGCUAGGGGAGCAAACGGGAUUAGAUGCCCCGGUAGUCCUAGCCGUAAACGAUGGGCACUAAGUAGAGGGGUUUU
rnacentral:rRNA from 1 species